rnacentral:rRNA from 1 species
UGCCGUUACCGGCAAGCUAACACAUGCAAGUCGAGCGGAGCGAGGGUGCUUGCACCUUAGCUUAGCGGCGGACGGGUGAGUAAAGCUUAGGAAUCUGCCUAUUAAUGGGGGACAACCUUCCGAAAGGGAUGCUAAUACCGCAUACGUCCUACGGGGGAAAGCAGGGGAUCUUCGGACCUUGCGCUAAUAAAUGAGCCUAAGUCGGAUUACCUAGUUGGUGGGGUAAAGGCCUACCAAGGCGACGAUCUGUAGCGGGUCUGAGAGGAUGAUCCGCCACACUGGGACUGAGACACGGCCCAAACUCCUACGGGAGGCACCAGUGGGGAAUAUUGGACAAUGGGGGGAACCCUGAUCCAGCCAUGCCGCGUGUGUGAAAAAGGCCUUUUGGUUGUAAAGCACUUUAAGCGAGGAGGAGGCGCUCUAGGAUAAUACCCUAGAUGCGUGGACGUUACUCGCAGAAUAAGCACCGGCUAACUCUGUGCCAGCAGCCGCGGUAAUACAGAGGGUGCGAGCGUUAAUCGGAUUUACUGGGCGUAAAGCGCGCGUAGGUGGCUAAUUAAGUCAAAUGUGAAAUCCCCGAGCUUAACUUGGGAAUUGCAUUCGAUACUGGUUAGCUAGAGUAUGGGAGAGGAUGGUAGAAUUCCAGGUGUAACGGUGAAAUGCGUAUAGAUCUGGAGGAAUACCGAUGGCGAAGGCAGCCAUCUGGCCUAAUACUGACACUGAGGUGCGAAAGCAUGGGGAGCAAACAGGAUUAGAUACCCUGGUAGUCCAUGCCGUAAACGAUGUCUACUAGCCGUUGGGGCCUUUGAGGCUUUAGUGGCGCAGCUAACGCGAUAAGUAUACCGCCUGGGGGAGUACGGGUCGCAAGACUAAAACUCAAAUGAAUUGACGGGGGCCCGCACAAGCGGUGAGCAUGUGGUUUAAAUUCGAUGCAACGCGAAGAAUCCUAUCCUGGCCUUGACAUACAGAGAACUUUUCACGAGAUGGAAUUGUGCCUUCGGGAACUCUGAUACAGUGCUGCAUGGCUGUCGUCAACUCGUGUCCUGAGAUGUUGGCUAAGUUCCCGCCACGAGCGCAACCUAUUCUAACUGCAGCAAUUCGAUGCAACUACGAUACUGCAUGACACUGAGAGCGCACACGUCAGUCACAUGCCUUACGACAGCUACAACGUGCC